CUCCAUGGUUAAUACCCGGAGACGAUGACAUUAGCUGCAGAAUAAGCACCGGCUAACUCUGUGCCAGCAGCCGCGGUAAUACAGAGGGUGCAAGCGUUAAUCGGAAUUACUGGGCGUAAAGCGAGCGUAGGUGGCUUGAUAAGUCAGAUGUGAAAUCCCCGGGCUUAACCUGGGAACGGCAUCUGAUACUGUUAAGCUAGAGUAGGUGAGAGGGAAGUAGAAUUCCAGGUGUAGCGGUGAAAUGCGUAGAGAUCUGGAGGAAUACCGAUGGCGAAGGCAGCUUCCUGGCAUCAUACUGACACUGAGGCUCGAAAGCGUGGGUAGCAAACAGGAUUAGAUACCCUGGUAGUCCACGCCGUAAACGAUGUC
rnacentral:rRNA from 1 species